UUGAAAUUACAUUUGCUUUAAAUUUCUUCUCUUGUUGAUUUUAUCUUUGACUACCCCAACAUGAGGACCUGCAUAUCUUGCCAGAUCAUGUACUCCAAAUAUCAGGGCAGCGCGUGCAGGCAGUGCUACGAGGACCUCAAGGCCAAGGUCGAGCAGUGCAACAAGGACCUCAACGCCAAGCUCGCUUUUCUCACGAUGCCCCAGCCGGCUUCCUUUUCCGACGUCGUUCUGUUUGCCGACGACGACGACGAGUACCCCGUACCCGUUCCGGCCCAUAAGGCCGUUUUGGCGAACCGUUCUCCAGUGUUGAGAGCCAUGCUUGCUUGAUAAUGAGAUGAAAGAAAGCCUGAGUGGCACCAUCAAGAUUGGCGAUGUCUCCUACGACGCCCUUCGCGCCUUCGUCAACUUCCUCUACACAGCUGAGGUAUGCCUCGACCAGCAAUUGGCCUGUGAGCUCCUUGUAAUGUCUGAAAAAUACCAGGUGCAGCAUCUCAAAGACUUCUGCCAGAAGUUCUUGGUGUCCAACCUCAACUUGGACAAUUCACUUUCGACCUACACCUUUGCGCACCAGCAUAACUUUAAGCCGAUCAUCGACGCAGCCUUGACGCUGAUCACAGCCAGCAUGGACAAGCUUGCUUCCCGGGACGAGUACACGGUGCUGAAGGAGAGAGAUCCGGGACUCUUAUUAGAAAUCUAUGAAGCUUAUUUUUCCAAACAAGCUAACACACAAUGGCACAAUGCUUGAUAGGCCAAUUUAGUCCUUUGUAGUUGAAUAUGUUAGUCAAUG